AGGCAAUUAGAACAGGCAGCGGAAGAUCGCAGAGUAAAAGGAAACAAGCUGCAAAUGAGACAUUUACCUUCGGAGGUGGAACUUGAGGUGUCAGAAGGAACUGAGCUGCCAACAAAAGCCACAGUGUCAUGUUUUAGUCCAUCUAAGCCAGCUGCUCCUCAUCAGCAGCCAUGCUCCUUCCUAUUCCCUGGUGGCAUUUGCUGGACAUGUUUAACAGGCUAAAGAAAUCAUCAGAAGAUAAAACAUAUGAAACACUGUUUUUUUCCCACCUGGCAGGAAUCAGGAGCUGAAGGAAAAACUCAAAGACAAUACAUAUAUGGACUUCAUGCCUAUGAAGUGACACCGUUUGAAACAAGCUAGAGAUUUCAGCUAUGUUUAUUUUUUUUGGAGAAAAAGAUGCAUGAGUUUAAACAAAUACAAACCCCAAAGGACCUACCCACAAAAAUGUUGUAGGGAGUUUCUGAUUUAAGAGAU